AUUGAACGCUGGCGGCAUGCCUUACACAUGCAAGUCGAACGGCAGCACGGGGCAACCUGGUGGCGAGUGGCGAACGGGUGAGUAAUGCAUCGGAACGUACCUUUCAGUGGGGGAUAACGUAGCGAACGUUACGCUAAUACCGCAUAUUCUGUGAGCAGGAAAGCAGGGGAUCGCAAGACCUUGCGCUGACUGAGCGGCCGGUGUCAGAUUAGCUAGUCGGUGAGGUAAAGGCUCACCAAGGCGACGAUCUGUAGCGGGUCUGAGGGGAUGAUCCGCCACACUGGAACUGAGACACGGUCCAGACUCCUACGGGAGGCAGCAGUGGGGAAUUUUGGACAAUGGGGGCAACCCUGAUCCAGCCAUGCCGCGUGAGUGAAGAAGGCCUUCGGGUUGUAAAGCUCUUUCGGCCGGGAAGAAAUCGCACGGGCUAAUACCCUGUGUGGAUGACGGUACCGGAAUAAGAAGCACCGGCUAACUACGUGCCAGCCGCCGCCGUAACAC
rnacentral:rRNA from 1 species